UACGUAGGGUCCGAGCGUUGUCCGGAAUUACUGGGCGUAAAGAGCUCGUAGGUGGUUUGUCGCGUUGUCCGUGAAAACUCACAGCUUAACUGUGGGCGUGCGGGCGAUACGGGCAGACUGGAGUACUGCAGGGGAGACUGGAGUUCCUGGUGUAGCGGUGGAAUGCGCAGAUAUCAGGAGGAACACCGGUGGCGAAGGCGGGUCUCUGGGCAGUAACUGACGCUGAGGAGCGAAAGCGUGGGGAGCGAAGAGG
rnacentral:rRNA from 1 species